rnacentral:rRNA from 1 species
UAGGGAAUCUUCCACAAUGGACGCAAGUCUGACGGAGCAACGCCGCGUGAGUGAAGAAGGCUUUCGGGUCGUAAAACUCUGUUAUUGAAGAAGAACGUGUGUGACAGUAACUGGUCAUGCAGUGACGGUAUUCAAUCAGAAAGUCACGGCUAACUACGUGCCAGCAGCCGCGGUAAUACGUAGGUGGCAAGCGUUGUCCGGAUUUAUUGGGCGUAAAGCGAGUGCAGGCGGUCUUUUAAGUCUGAUGUGAAAGCCUUCGGCUUAACCGAAGAAGGGCAUCGGAAACUGGGAGACUUGAGUGCAGAAG